GACGAACGCUGGCGGCGUGCUUAACACAUGCAAGUCGAACGGGAAGGCCCUGCUUUUGUGGGGUGCUCGAGUGGCGAACGGGUGAGUAACACGUGAGUAACCUGCCCUUGACUUUGGGAUAACUUCAGGAAACUGGGGCUAAUACCGGAUAGGAGCUCCUGCUGCAUGGUGGGGGUUGGAAAGUUUCGGCGGUUGGGGAUGGACUCGCGGCUUAUCAGCUUGUUGGUGGGGUAGUGGCUUACCAAGGCUUUGACGGGUAGCCGGCCUGAGAGGGUGACCGGCCACAUUGGGACUGAGAUACGGCCCAGACUCCUACGGGAGGCAACAGUGGGGAAUAUUGCACAAUGGGCGGAAGCCUGAUGCAGCAACGCCGCGUGCGGGAUGACGGCCUUCGGGUUGUAAACCGCUUUCGCCUGUGACGAAGCGUGAGUGACGGUAAUGGGUAAAGAAGCACCGGCUAACUACGU
rnacentral:rRNA from 1 species